rnacentral:lncRNA from 1 species
GGCUAUGACUUUGUUAUCUCUAUAACAUUAAUGUCAUUUUAAGGAUGUAAUAAUUUUAGAAGAUAUAGUUACAUAUUUUAGAAGAAUUUUAAUCUGCAAGUCAUAAAUCCUCCCAUUGACUUCACCAAGUUAUGGAAAGGACUGGAGACAAGCUGAUCCAACCGACAAGUCAUAAAUUCUUUCACUAACUUCACCAAGUCAGAUCAAAGAGGACUAGAGACAAGUUGAUCGAUUGGCACCUAAAUCAGUUAUACUGAUUAACCUCAAUGACAUGGAUCAACUCAAAUCACUUAGCGAUCUAAUCAAAAUAUAAUUUAUCAUAUUGGCC